CUGGGUAUGUCUUCCACCAGUCAUUCCGUUUUUGUCCCUACAUCCAUCCUCUUCUCGGACGCACUGGUGCUUUCAUGGUCAGCUUCAGCGGCUCAAAGUGAGAGAAACGGGGAGACAGAAGGAGGAAUUGGACUACGGUGGUGAUACGAGUUUGGGCUGUAAUUCUGUGUGUUGGACCCUUCACCCACCGUACCUGUGGUAUGACCUUAUUUGGAAAUAGGGUCUUUGCAGGUGAUCAAGCUAAGAUGAUUGAGUUAAGGUCAUUAGGAUGGACCCUGAUCCAGCAUGACUGCGCCCUUAUAACAAAGGGAAAUUUGGGCACAAAGAGAGACAUGCAUAGAGGGAAGACAAUGUGAAGACACAAGGAGAAUGCCUGAGGCUGCCAGAAGCUAGGAGGGAGGCAUGGAACAGGCGCCCCCUCACAGACCUCAGAAGAAACCAUCCCGGCCCACACCAUGGUUUUGGGCUUCCAACCUCCAGAACUGGGAGACAAUAAAUUUCUCUUGUUUAAGCCUCCAGUUAGCAGGACUUUGUUAUGACAGACCCAGGAAACUAACACAAUGGCCAAAGUGAGGCUUGAAGGAUGAUUGGAAACUUCCAGUGAAUAAGGCGGAAGAAUAUUCUAGCAAAGAGAAACAGCUCAGGCCACGCUGCAGAGGUGGGAGACAGCAUCCACACUGCAACAACUCCUUGCAGGUAGUAAGGCCAGAUCAUGGGACCCCACGGAGGGGAUGAGGCUGGAGAAACAGGCAUAGCCAGAUAAUAAAAGACAUUUUUGCCCAACACUUUAUUCUGAGGACAAUUGGAAGCAACCUAAGAGUUUAAGUAGGAGCGGGUAGGUAACACGAUCACAAUUAUGCUGUAUUUUAGGAAGAGCACACUUGAAGGAGCUUUGAGAUUGGACUGGAAGGAGGUGGGAAGGGGAGACUGAGGACAAAUACCAUCAUUUGGAGGCUGUUUUUGCAGGAGUCCAGAUGGGAAGUGCCACUGAACCAAGGCAGUGUUAGUGGUGUGGGGGGAUGGGAGUGGAGCCUAGGGACAGAAAGGACCUGGGGAUUAACUGAACUGGGG
rnacentral:lncRNA from 1 species